rnacentral:rRNA from 1 species
GUGAAAGGCCAAUCAAACUUCGUGAUAGCUGGUUCUCUCCGAAAUAUAUUUAGGUAUAGCGUUGUGUCGUAAUAUAAGGGGGUAGAGCACUGAAUGGGCUAGGGCAUACACCAAUGUACCAAACCCUAUCAAACUCCGAAUACCUUAUAUGUAAUCACAGCAGUCAGGCGGCGAGUGAUAAAAUCCGUCGUCAAGAGGGAAACAACCCAGACUACCAGCUAAGGUCCCUAAAUCUUACUUAAGUGGAAAACGAUGUGAAGUUACUUAAACAACCAGGAGGUUGGCUUAGAAGCAGCCAUCCUUUAAAGAAAGCGUAAUAGCUCACUGGUCUAGUGAUUUUGCGCGGAAAAUAUAACGGGGCUAAAGUAAGUACCGAAGCUGUAGACUUGCGCACAACUUAGAUUAUUUAAGUUUAGAAUAUGAGAAACUAAGUUAUAUGUUUAGUUAUAUUUUUACUGAUUUUUAUAGAGUAAAGAUAGAAAUAAAACUUAGUAAAAUCAGUAAAAAUAUUCUUAGACUAAAGUUAAGUAGUUUAAGUUGUGUGCAAGUGGUAGGAGAGCGUUCUAUUUGCGUCGAAGGUAUACCGGUAAGGAGUGCUGGAGCGAAUAGAAGUGAGCAUGCAGGCAUGAGUAGCGAUAAUUAAUGUGAGAAUCAUUAACGCCGUAAACCCAAGGUUUCCUACGCGAUGCUCGUCAUCGUAGGGUUAGUCGGGUCCUAAGUCGAGUCCGAAAGGGGUAGACGAUGGCAAAUUGGUUAAUAUUCCAAUACCAACAUUAGUGUGCGAUGGAAGGACGCUUAGGGCUAAGGGGGCUAGCGGAUGGAAGUGCUAGUCUAAGGUCGUAGGAGGUUAUACAGGCAAAUCCGUAUAACAAUACUCCGAGAACUGAAAGGCUUUUUGAAGUCUUCGGAUGGAUAGAAGAACCCCUGAUGCCGUCGAGCCAAGAAAAGUUUCUAAGUUUAGCUAAUGUUGCCCGUACCGUAAACCGACACAGGUGGGUGGGAUGAGUAUUCUAAGGCGCGUGGAAGAACUCUCUUUAAGGAACUCUGCAAAAUAGCACCGUAUCUUCGGUAUAAGGUGUGGUUCGCUUCGUAUUAGGAUUUACUCCGAAAGCGAAGAAACUUACAACAAAGAGUCCCUCCCGACUGUUUACCAAAAACACAGCACUCUGCUAACUCGUAAGAGGAUGUAUAGGGUGUGACGCCUGCCCGGUGCUCGAAGGUUAAUUGAUGGGGUUAGCAUUAGCGAAGCUCUUGAUCGAAGCCCGAGUAAACGGCGGCCGUAACUAUAACGGUCCUAAGGUAGCGAAAUUCCUUGUCGGUUAAAUACCGACCUGCAUGAAUGGCGUAACGAGAUGGGAGCUGUCUCAAAGAGGGAUCCAGUGAAAUUGUAGUGGAGGUGAAAAUUCCUCCUACCCGCGGCAAGACGGAAAGACCCCGUGGACCUUUACUACAGCUUGACACUGCUAUUUGGAUAAGAAUGUGCAGGAUAGGUGGGAGGCUUUGAGUAUAUGACGCCAGUUGUAUAUGAGCCAUUGUUGAGAUACCACUCUUUCUUAUUUGGGUAGCUAACCAGCUUGAGUUAUCCUCAAGUGGGACAAUGUCUGGUGGGUAGUUUGACUGGGGCGGUCGCCUCCCAAAUAAUAACGGAGGCUUACAAAGGUUGGCUCAGAACGGUUGGAAAUCGUUCGUAGAGUAUAAAGGUAUAAGCCAGCUUAACUGCAAGACAUACAAGUCAAGCAGAGACGAAAGUCGGUCUUAGUGAUCCGGUGGUUCUGUGUGGAAGGGCCAUCGCUCAAAGGAUAAAAGGUACCCCGGGGAUAACAGGCUGAUCUCCCCCAAGAGCUCACAUCGACGGGGAGGUUUGGCACCUCGAUGUCGGCUCAUCGCAUCCUGGGGCUGGAGCAGGUCCCAAGGGUAUGGCUGUUCGCCAUUUAAAGCGGUACGCGAGCUGGGUUCAGAACGUCGUGAGACAGUUCGGUCCCUAUCUGCCGUGGGCGUAAGAAGAUUGAAGAGAUUUGACCCUAGUACGAGAGGACCGGGUUGAACAAACCACUGGUGUAGCUGUUGUUCUGCCAAGAGCAUCGCAGCGUAGCUAAGUUUGGAAAGGAUAAACGCUGAAAGCAUCUAAGCGUGAAGCCAACUCUAAGAUGAAUCUUCUCUAAGCUCUCUAGAAGACUACUAGUUUGAUAGGCUGGGUGUGUAAUGGAUGAAAGUCCUUUAGCUGACCAGUACUAAUAGAGCGUUUGGCUUAUCUUUAAUAAAGCAU